rnacentral:rRNA from 1 species
GAGUUUGAUCAUGGCUCAGAUUGAACGCUGGCGGCAGGCCUAACACAUGCAAGUCGAGCGGUAGAGAGAAGCUUGCUUCUCUUGAGAGCGGCGGACGGGUGAGUAAUGCCUAGGAAUCUGCCUGGUAGUGGGGGAUAACGCUCGGAAACGGACGCUAAUACCGCAUACGUCCUACGGGAGAAAGCAGGGGACCUUCGGGCCUUGCGCUAUCAGAUGAGCCUAGGUCGGAUUAGCUAGUUGGUGAGGUAAUGGCUCGCCAAGGCGACGAUCCGUAACUGGUCUGAGAGGAUGAUCAGUCACACUGGAACUGAGACACGGUCCAGACUCCUACGGGAGGCAGCAGUGGGGAAUAUUGGACAAUGGGCGAAAGCCUGAUCCAGCCAUGCCGCGUGUGUGAAGAAGGUCUUCGGAUCGUAAAGCACUUUAAGUU